GACGAACGCUGGCGGCGUGCUUAACACAUGCAAGUCGAACGGAAAGGCCCUGCUUUCGUGGGGUGCUCGAGUGGUGAACGGGUGAGUAACACAUGAGUAACCUGCCCUUGACUUUGGGAUAACUUCAGGAAACUGGGGCUAAUACCGGAUAGGAGCUCCUGCUGCAUGGUGGGGGUUGGAAAGUUUCGGCGGUUGGGGAUGGACUCGCGGCUUAUCAGCUUGUUGGUGGGGUACUGGCUCACCAAGGCUUUGACGGGUAGCCGGCCUGAGAGGGUGACCGGCCACAUUGGGACUGAGAUACGGCCCAGACUCCUACGGGAGGCAGCAGUGGGGAAUAUUGCCCAAUGGGCGGAAGCCUGAUGCAGAAACGCCGCGUGCGGGAUGACGGCCUUCGGGUUGUAAACCGCAUUCGCCUGUGACGAAGCGUGAGUGACGGUAAUAGGUAAAGAAGCACCGGCUAACUACGUG
rnacentral:rRNA from 1 species